CCUGGCUCAGGAUGAACGCUAGCGACAGGCCUAACACAUGCAAGUCGAGGGGCAGCACAGGAGCAAUCUGAGGUGGCGACCGGCGCACGGGUGAGUAACACGUAUGCAACCUGCCUGUAAGCGGGGAAUAACCCGUUGAAAGACGGACUAAUACCGCAUAAUACUAAAUUACUGCAUGGUAAUUUAUUUAAACAUUUAUGGCUUACAGAUGGGCAUGCGCAUGAUUAGCUAGUUGGAGAGGUAACGGCUCCCCAAGGCAACGAUCAUUAGGGGUUCUGAGAGGAAGGUCCCCCACACUGGUACUGAGACACGGACCAGACUCCUACGGGAGGCAGCAGUGAGGAAUAUUGGUCAAUGGACGAGAGUCUGAACCAGCCAAGUCGCGUGCAGGAAGAAUUGUCCUAUGGAUUGUAAACUGCUUUUGCAGGGGAAUAAAGUGCAUCACGUGUGAUGUUUUGUAUGUACUCUGCGAAUAAGGAUCGGCUAACUCCGUGCCAGCCGCCGC
rnacentral:rRNA from 1 species